AUUGAACGCUGGCGGCAAUGCUUAACACAUGCAAGUCGAACGGUAACAGGCCCUUCGGGUGCUGACGAGUGGCGGACGGGUGAGUAAUGCUUAGGAAUCUGCCUAGUAGGUGGGGGAUAACCCGGGGAAACUCGGGCUAAUACCGCAUACGCCCUACAGGGGAAAGCGGGGGACUUUCGGGCCUCGCGCUAUUAGAUGAGCCUAAGU
rnacentral:rRNA from 1 species